UCCGCAUGGUAGAACUAUUAAAGAAUUUCGGUCAUCGAUGGGGAUGCGUUCCAUUAGGUUGUUGGCGGGGUAACGGCCCACCAAGCCUUCGAUGGAUAGGGGUUCUGAGAGGAAGGUCCCCCACAUUGGAACUGAGACACGGUCCAAACUCCUACGGGAGGCAGCAGUGAGGAAUAUUGGUCAAUGGACGAGAGUCUGAACCAGCCAAGUAGCGUGAAGGAUGACUGCCCUAUGGGUUGUAAACUUCUUUUAUACGGGAAUAAAGUGAGGCACGUGUGCCUUUUUGUAUGUACCGUAUGAAUAAGGAUCGGCUAACUCCGUGCCAGCAGCCGCGGUAAUACGGAGGAUCCGAGCGUUAUCCGGAUUUAUUGGGUUUAAAGGGAGCGUAGGCGGACGCUUAAGUCAGUUGUGAAAGUUUGCGGCUCAACCGUAAAAUUGCAGUUGAUACUGGGUGUCUUGAGUACAGUAGAGGCAGGCGGAAUUCGUGGUGUAGCGGUGAAAUGCUUAGAUAUCACGAAGAACUCCGAUUGCGAAGGCAGCUUGCUGGACUGUAACUGACGCUGAUGCUCGAAAGUGUGGGUAUCAAACGGGAUUAGAUACCCUGGUAGUCCACACAGUA
rnacentral:rRNA from 1 species